CUUUGAUUUUGGUUAAUUGCUAGAUCUUUGAUGCUCACAUAAUUUCUCUUGAAUUUUUCAAGCUCGAUCCUCACAUAUAUGCAAUAUAUGAGCUUUUGGACCUCUAACUUCCUGUCCCUAUCCUAUCAUCCAAAUCUCAAUCUUGAUGAAUUUUUCUAGCGAUCUCAGAAUUAUUGUGAUAUUCUCGUACUCCAACUUCC
rnacentral:lncRNA from 1 species